UGCCAGUGGGAACAAUGACACUACAAUGUAAGAAUGGAUACUAACAUCAAGACUGAACAGUUACAUCAGGACGGUACACCCUGUUACUGGUUGGCGGAGAGACUGGGUCUUGAUGGGGUUUCUGAAUGUUAAGCUGGUGGCUCAUCAAGUUGAAGGGCAUGACACUAGCCGAAAGACAGUUCUUGAGAAGACACUUGGCCCUAGGCAGGACAGAUUGUUACAUAGGGGUCUAACUGAGUUUCCAAGCAUGACCCUUAGGAAUCACUGGGUCCACUGGAACCGUAACAGUAAGGCCUGAAAGGGUUUCAGAGCCCAGUAAAGGCUGAGAACGAUGUGGGAACAGAUCUCAGUGCUCAGGACAUAGCAGGUUGUGAAGGAUUUUGCAUUCCGGUUUUGUCAGGUUCCAUACGUUGGACGAAAUGUAGCAGUUGAUCUCUGGAGUCCUUGUUCCCGAGUAAAGACUUGCUGGUCAGGUGUACUUCCAUUAUGGUUGGUCCAAACCAUUGUUAUAAUCUCAAAGUUUUGGUGAUAGUCUCACUAUAGCAAGAAGCAAGGAGAUGGAAGCAGCCACUGAAGAAAGACUUUUGGGGAUUUCGCAACAAUUUUGCAGGGCUUAAUGUCAGAUAAGACAAGGUUUGUCCAAACCAUUGCUUUCUGAGAGUUUUAAUGAUGACUUUGUCCGAGAAACAAGUCAAAAGGGCAGAUGCAAGCACUGUGAAUAGUGAAGAGUUUUAGGUUUGUUGUGGGGAGUUUGCAACAAGUUUCCAGAAAAGAGAAUUCAAGGUCAAUGGCACAAGUAACACCUCAUGUUGACACUUCAUUCCUGGGAUGGAGCAAAAUACCGGAGACCAAGGUUAACGAUGGAGGAAGACAUCGGAGACCCAGUGGGUGGGGGAAGGAUGCCAGGGCAAGCAACAAUGGAGACUUAACAGCUGGGAAUUGGAGAUACUUAGUGGCUGGGGAGUGACAGCGACAUUGGAGACUAAGCAGCUUGGGAUUGGAGAUG